AUGGAUGUAUAGAUGAAUGGGUAGACAGAUAGACAGAUAGAAUCUCCCAUGCUAACAUGGGGUUUCUUGGCAUCAGCAACCCUGACAUUUGGGUCUGUACCAUUCUGGGGUGGGGUGUCCUCUGUACUUGUACGAUGUUAGGCAGCAUCCCUGGUCUCCACCCACCAGAUGCCAGUUGCACCCCUACCCCCAAGUUAUGGCAACCGUAAUGUCUCCAGAUAUUGCCCAGUGUCCUCUGGGGGUACAGUUGUCCCUGUCAAGGACUGUGGGAUCUGAUGAACACACCGAGGACCCUUUAGAAUAUGCUGCCUUUUGUCUCUUCCCUGUCACCCACCGGGACCAGAAAGGAUGACACACAGCAGGAACAUCUUUCACUUACUCGCCAUGCUUCUGAGCAGCUCCUCCCUGCACUGUGGAAAGUCCCUGGCUCUCUAAGUGGGCUCAGAUCCGCCUGGCUUCAUGGAUCCAGCAAUGAAGUAUUGCCACAUACUUGUUCCAUUCUGAAAAGUGCUUGUGGAACCAGGAAUAAAAAAAGAAAGUGUUGUAACCAAGCAGAAGAAGGCCCACGGGAUCCUUUUUGUUCAAACUGUGUCCACGAGAGGGCAGCUGACGCCACUUCAAGAGUCUCUCCCCUGGGAUGUGAGAGGUAUUUUCAUUCGUCCAGUCGAUUUCUGUCACUCGGCUUUAAAAGUCACUUCCUUCCGGGGAGCCAGGACCCUCAUACACAGCUGGGUGACUCGGAAGGAGCAGAUGCGUCUCAACCAACCUCAUCUUCCGAGACAAGACAGUUCACACCGAGGUCUACAUGCUCUGCGUUGAUCAUCUACACUCAUCAAAUCAUGCAUGCUUGGACGGCUGGCGCAGGCCAGUGGAUGCCUGCGUCCCCGUGCGCCAUAAAAAGAUGCUGAGCAAAAACCAGUGACACGUGCAGACCCGGUGACACACGCAGACUGUUUUGGCACCGGGCACUCUGUCGGGACCCUGUGAUGGGCUCAUUGCGUCCCAUCAAAAUCCACAUGUUGAAGUUCUCACCCCCAGGACCUUGGAAGGGGGCUGUAUUUGGAAACAGGGUCUUGAAAGACGUGAGGAAGGUAAAAUGUGGUCACUAGGGUGGGUCCUGAUCCCACAGGACUGGUGUCCUUACAAGAAGAGGAGAUCAGGACACAGACGCGCAGAGAGGGGUGACCCCAUGAGGACACAGGGAGGAGACGGCCGUCUACACGCCCAGGAGAGAAGCCUCGGGAGGGACCAGCCCUGCCCACACCUGGAUCUCAGACUCCAGCCUCCAGGGCGGGGAGAAAUAAAUGUUUGUUAUUUAAGCCUCCUUGUCUGUGCUACUCUAUUACGGCAGCUCUAGCAGCUCAUCUAGGCACCAUCU